ensembl:lncRNA
CCCGCCCUGGAGCCAGGACCUGGGAGGGAGCGUCUGGUGGCUGGGCCUUAGUCCAUGGGGCCCGGCCGGGCACAGCCCGAAGAGGAGACAUGGGCCCAUCCUCCCACAGGCCCACCACCCACAGGAGGCGCCAUAGGGGUCGGGUGCAUUGUGUGCCGGGUGGCGGCCAGGAGCGGAGGCCCUGGCGGACUGAUCCCUGGCUGCCAAGACUGGCAAUAGGGAUAUGGAAUGUCACCUCUCUGGUGGGGAAGGAGCCUGAGUUAGUGCGUGAGGUUGAGAGGUACCGGCUAGAUAUAGUCGGGCUCACCUCUACGCAUGGCUUGGGCUCUGGGACCAGUCUCCUGGAGAGGGGCUGGACUCCGUCUCAGUCUGGAGUUGCCCCUGGUAAGAGGCGGCGGGCUGGGGUGGGUAUUCUGUUUUCUUUUUUUUUUUCUUUUUUUCUCUUUUCUUCAGAUUCAAUCUGAGCCAUUCAAAUUCAAAUUGAACUUAUUCAAAUUGAGUUUCUGAUGGCACGGAUUUCUGCCCAUAGUACACCUACUUACUGGUUGUGUCGCAUCAGUCUGUGUCUCUGAGUUAACUUGUGUUUCUCCUACAGCUCCGGACCGCUAAAAAUGCGCGUGCUCUUUGUGAGCUCGUUCCCAGCUCGUAACCAGCGCGUUCUGCCGUCAAGGGCGAUCAUUGGUGAAAUGUGAUCAUGUGACUGAUGCAAGCCAGAUCCUUUUAUUUAGCAAAACUGUGAUUAAUAGUUAAAUAUUAUUUUUUUUCUUUUUUUUUUUUUUUUUUCCUUUUUUUUUUGCCUGUCCCGUUUGGCUCUUUUGCCAUCAGAAUUGUUGUCUAAAGGCAAAGAAAGAUGCCCAACGGAUUUACUUUACCAAAUUGACCAUCCCAGCCUUGCCGUAAUGGUCCAUUUGAUUCACCUUUUAUUGUUUAUUUUAUUUUCACUUACUGAAUACGGGACAGACUUGACUGGGGAAAGAAGGGGAGAAAGAAAGAGGGAAAGAGAAACAGCUGAGA